AAUUUACUUAACAAUGGUGGCGAGAAAGGUCAUAAAAUGGAGAUGUUUGCACACAUGAAUGCCUUCACUCAUCCCUUCCGCAUUAUUUCUAUUGACUCUACUAAAACUACAGUCUGAAACAUAAAGGGAAAUGCAAGGGGUGAAUGGAACAUGAGCUUCUGGGAUAAAGGGCAGAAUACUGACUGUUAUUGACCAGUAGAGAACAUUACAGCCAAACAAUCUAGAACAAAAUGGCUGCCCAGGGCAGAAACCAGCCACUAAAAUGAAGAAACAUGCCAAACUCUGGGGCCAGAUGGAGUUGGGGUGCUCCUAAAAGAAAUGAAGUGCUGGAGACUGUCUCCUCUGAAGGACUUCAGGUAUAUCAGAUCAGAAAACAGCAGUUCUGAAACAUAGCUUGAAAGCAUGGGUGUGGUAUGCACUUGCAUUCAUCCAUUCCUGCAUUGAGGAGGUGGCCAGUUGCUCGUCCGCAAUUAGCCAAGAAGAAGGUACAGAUCUGCCCUUCAUGAAAUACAAGGAGAAACCUUACAACAGCAGAGAGAAGAAAUCUACUUUCUAGUGCCAUCUAUUCUCCAGAUGUUAUUUGUUCAGUGCCAUCUAUUCCUUUUCAAGAAGCAAAAUAUUCGUUUAUUAUAUACUAUUCUCCGAUAUUUGCUCUGUGCAACAAAAAUGCAAAAUUGUUUGAUUUCUGCACUCCCCAAGAUAUUUUAAUUAUAUCCUUAUCAAAUGUUAUUUUUAUAUCAUAAAGAUUAUUAUGAGCAACAUAAAAUAUUUCCAUUAUCA